GAGUGGUACUAAAGCAGUUCGCUAAAAGAUUGAUGUCAAGAUUUGUCUAAACCAGGGAACUCCACCAUUUCUCUGAAAACAAACACUGAACCAGGAUCCUCACAGAAGCCUAUACUCUCCCAUUGACUGGAAGAUGCUGCUUUAGUGCCCUCAACAAGAUCUUGGUUUUCAUGACAGCUGGUUAAGGCUAUGGACUUUGUGAGGAAGCUUUUUCCAAAAGCAGGAUUGAGAAAGGACAUAGAAGACUGGAGAGUAAAUACACUGAAAUGAUUCACACCACCUCAAAUGAGUAUCACAGAUGAACCAAUGAGAUCCCUGAUAAUUCACAUUAGAGCUAGACUGAAUGUUUUUGUGGACUUUCAUGACCACUGUCUUCAUGUCUGUAGGAAGACUUAAAGGAUCGUUAUUGUAAUACACUGCGAGUAGAACAACGCAGAUUAUGAAAGUGUCACCAAAUUAACUACUUGUUGCUGGAAGUGCACAGAUGUCCAACCAUGUUCACUUGGCAUUGGAAAAGAAGAACACCCACAGCGAUGCGACGGGGCUGACCUGGUUCUCAGUAAGUGGCCUCUAGAAGUGCACUUCAUCAUACAGAGUGUGUUUUGCAGGCUGUAACAAUUCUUUGAAGGGUUUCCCAAGUCUAUUUAUAUAGGAAGGGCAUGAUCAAUGUGGCAGUUCCUGAAAACUUUCCUGGGGAGCAGUAAAGAAAAAUGAAUUUACUGCUUAUACCACAUUCCUGAAAAAUCUUUUCCAUGCCUAAGCCUAAAAUGGUUUUUUGUAUGUUAGAAAGCUGGAGAACAUAAAAAAAAAGAAAAUAAGAAGUGGAACUUGGAGUUCUAGAAGUAAGUUGGGGCACUUGGGGAAGUAAAUAGAAACAGAUCUAGGGGAAAAGCCAAUUCCACGCAAUGAAGUGGCAGCGUAGAGCAAUGAUUUGCUGGCAUGGCUACAUGGCACUGUAGUAGCCUUUUGUUUGUAGAACAAUGCUCCCCGAGGGUCAGAUUAAACUCCGGUUGUAAGCCAGAAUUUUAUGGCAUAGAAGGAAAUGGAUUGAUCAAUACAGAAAAAUAUCUGGAUACACAAAGGAAUGAGGACAAGAAGCUGUAAAGGAGUGGCAAGGGCCUUGCCUCACAACUAUCUUUGAACAGCGGUGUAGGGAGAUAUGGUGACACAGCAAAAAGACAUUUCAGAGCUUGACCACUUCCUCAGUGAUCUUUGGAAAUUCAAGCCAAAUGUAACUGAUAUAUAAAACACAUAGAAAUGGCAACCAAUGGGUGAGCAUAAGGACAAUUACUACAAACUACAUUAAAAUUAAAAAAUAUAUAUAUAUGAUCACUACAAACGUUAAAGAUAAGUGAGCCCACCCCAAAGAAUGUACUGAAUAUGAUGAUACUGUUCUCAGUAUCGUUCUUGUUGAACAUAUGGAUGAAAGAACCUUUCACUAAAAUACCUGAGAAUGGUUGUGAUGUUCAAGGUAGGACACACAGUUGUAAGAAUUUGAGGUAAAUUUCUGAGGUGCUUCUUAAUAGAAAAGUAUAUGUUGAUAUAUACAUCAGCUAUUUACAUUGCUUUUAAGGAUUUAGACAGUGUAGAGCUCUACUUAUGUUAGACUGCCUACAAAGUCAAGAGUUAGGUGAGAGCACUUCCAGGAGACAGCUGAGCUCAUAGGUGAAGAGCAUAUUAAUUAUCAAUAACUACACUGAAAGUUUACAGUGCCUCAAGUCUCAGUUUAAAUGCAUAUUUAUUUUCCCUGAAGGUAGAUGAGACAAACUAUGGUCAAGCUAACCAUCUUCUACCCAGUCAUAUCAGUGGGGGACUUCACUGGAUUGGAUCCUCUGGAGGAUCACAGUUAAAUAAUUUCCUUCCCAACAAGAGGAUUAUUUUUCAAACAGACCUUCCCAGAAAGCAAGCUUGGGUGAAGUGGGGCUAUAUAUAAACAGAACACUCAACCUAGAUUGACAGGAUCCCACCAGACAAAUUCUCUCAAAUUAAUAAUAAUAAUAAUAAUAAUAAUAAUAAUAAUAAUAAUAAUAAUAAUAAUAAUAAUUUAAUUAAUUAAUUAAAACCAGUAUCAAUUAAACUAUCCUAGAGAUGAAAAGUUUGUCUUCAUAGCUAGAGAAACAUAAAGUGCAUAAGAAACUAAAACAUUGCAGCUUCCUGGUCUAACAUCAGUCUACUUUUGACACAAAGCCAAUUUGCUGGGCACACAUCUGAGGUUGUUGCUUUACUAAGAGAGGAACGGGUGUUGUCAAAGAAUUAAACUGAUGUGAGAAUGGCUUUGUACAGGGUAAACUGAUACUUAGAACCCAUUGUUGCCCUGAAGAUAUUAUAUAAUCAGAUCUUUUGAAGUGUAAAAUCCAGAAAGAUUUUCACAAGUGAUACCUUUGUUUUGGUGUCUUUGGAAAAUUGUCACACUUCUUUCUUGUAGACCGUGUUUGGGAUGCCUGACAGAAGCAAGUGUUGCACCUUCAGAUUCACAAAAGAAAUGGUAUAUACCAGUGCAAAAAGUUUUAUGAACUGAAAUGUUAAGGUUGCAUAAAAGAGGGGCCUACCUUCAUCCUUAUCUGGGAUCAAAAAGAAAAUAAAAACAAGGCCAAGAACAUGUACUUGAGCACACAAAUCCAUAGAAGUCAGACACAACUCUCACCCAAUGCUUGGUCUCCCCCUUAAUUGCAAGAUGAUCCACUGAAUUUGCCAUGCCACUUUCUUUUCUAGUUUGUUACUAAUCAGGUUACUUUCCCAAGUCAGACAAUUUUUUUCACGUUUACACUAGAAAUUUCUCAUUCUAACUGUCAAGCUAUUGCACCGAAAGAAAAUAGUUGCAGCAUUCUUUUAAACAAUCCCUCCUGUAUUAGAGGGCAUGUACAGUUCAUGGUCUUUGUUUUCAACUCAAGAUUACAGAUACCGGAACAGAUUGAUAUUGAUACAGCACACUGUAAAUUAAACUAGUGGUCUGAUUCUACAGGCAGGGGAUUCACUCAAUGGAAAAGUCUGUAGAAGAACAGUGACUCUACUCAAAUAAAUAUUCACAGCAGACCAUUAGUUUUUUUAUCCUCUUUGCAAACUCCAACAAUUGUUAACAAAACCCAAACAAAAAAUUAGCUAAACUACGUAAAAAUGGGAAUUGUUUUCAAUUUACCAAUAGGCAAAUCAGAGUUCACAUUGUAAUGGCAAUCCAGCUUAGUUCACAUCAGUGACAUGAUAAUGUGUCUUUUGGACUUGUUCAGCUGACACAAGGCAGUAUCUCUGGCAAAUAUUUAUUUUAGUAAUAUGGGACAGUAUACUUCCUGGUAUUUUUUCCUCAGAACUGCUCAACAAGUGGGAGUAGUACCAUCCUCUCAUAAUAAGAAAAGAACAGCUACAAGCUAAAACCAGUUGAGCCCUGGCUUGACUGGCUCAUCCGAAGGGUGGUUCUGCUGGGACUACCCUAGUAAAGUGGAUGCCAAUGCAAAGAAUCCACAUAGAAUGGAAGAAACAGUACUUGGAGCAAUGCCAUUGAUUUUUCUUGCGUUAUGCUGGGGAAAUGUUUGACUUGCAAACUGGUCGCAAGCUGGAAGAGGUUCUCUGAGGCUACAGAUGAGCAGUUGAGCAUGCACAUAUGAGAAACAACUGCACAGUUUUUUCCUGAGAGAGCUGGCUGUAGUCAUAUCUUGGUCAACUCUAGUCAUACCCCACAGGCUGAGCGAGGCUUUCAGGCUGAUUUUUGUUCUAUGUCUUCGUGCAUGUGGGGUGACGGAAGGUGUUUGACCCACUGACUGUCUGAGGAACCUGAAAGUUUUCGUUAAAGUGACUACACCUUGCUGCCUACGUCUUAUCCAGCUAGAACUCUGUAGCUGCAAACAGGGGAUCAAAGAGUUCACUUCACUGUCUGGCCACUGAAGCUGUAGACAGUACAGCACAGGCCAGAUAGAUGCCAGACUGGGUGAGUAAGUGAAGUACCAGGGAUAGUGUGAAGGGAGAAGGGUUUCACAUGUUCCUCUGAAAGCACACUGCACAUGGCAAUAAACUGUUCCAGCUCUAAGCUAAAAUAAUUUCACUUGCCUAAAAAGCAAAAUGCAGGUCAAAAAAAAAAAAAAAAAAAAAAAAAAAGAACGGGAAAACAGUGGCAUUCUCAGUUUCUGGAUAAAGUCUCAGCACCAGGAAAACACACAGGAGAACGGACUUCUAAGUGUACCUGAUAAGAUUAAUUUGUGUUUUAUGCCCUUCUCCCAUCUGAAGAUAAAGCAGAAAUGGAAAGGGUUUCCACUAGCAUUCUAGCUGAGCAGUCCUAUUGAGAAUGAUUGACUUCCAGGGCUUAAAUGAGUUGGUACCUGAAUACUUACAAGUCUGUUUAGUCUUCUGAUGACCAAAACACUCAAGAAUGAUUUCUUCCCCCUCAGGGAAAGGGAAGGAGGAAAGGAAGGAAUGUUCUUCUUCCUUGCUGCUGUUCUUUGCAUUGCAAAAGCAGGCCUGUGCUUGAUUUGUAUCAGUAAGAACAUUAUACAGGCUAAUGUGCAAUUUAUACAUGAGCCUCACUUACAACCAAGUGCAACACAUGCCUUCCAAGGGAGUUGCAUUGUGCUGAUGUUUAUCUGAAUUAUUUGAGGAUUUCUAUCAUUUAUAUGCAAACUGGUCCAUUGACUACAACAGAAGUUGGGAAUGGAAGCUUUAGCUGCAAUUUGUUACUGGCACAAACAUCUUGCUGAUUUUUUUUAAUUUUUUUUAUUUUUUGGAUGUUUACCAAAGAUGCCUGGACUGUGUUAUUCCCAUUGCAAUCAACUGUUCCCACUGCUACUGUUAGGAACACCCAGCCUCUUUUUUACUGUUUUUAAAGAAAGAAAGACAAAGGAUGAAAUAGCUGUCUCGUCUGACUACAGUGGCUCUUAAAAUACCCAGUGCUGCAAAAUUGGUGCCUUUCCUAAGGCUUCUAACACACCAUUCUCAGGAGGCAAAUCAUUCCAGAAAGAGGAUGGAGAACUAGUUACUUAAAACCAGCUGUGCUGAAUCCCACAGAAAUAUAAUGUGGGCUGCUCUGUUGCAUCACUGUGACCAUCAAAUAAGCAUGGACCUAUCACUUAGGGAUGAAGAAAAAAUUAUAUUCAAUUCCUAUACCUAUUCUAAGUCAAGGAUUCCAGCAGUUUUAAGACUGGUUAUACCAUAAUGAGACAGCAUACUUGACAUCAACUACAACAAUUUAUUAUGAAAAAGAAUUAAAUAAGAGAUUACUUGGAGCUCAGUAGCUGCAGCAUUUUAAAAUGGAAAACUAAAAGUUGGUGCACUUUUGUUAGCUGCUGUGUCAGCUGCUGUGCUAUGCCCUCCAAAACAGCUCCCUGCUCAGCAGGUUGUAGGUCAGUGUAUUCUUAAAUCCCAGUCCUUAGUCCUCUUUCAGGUCACAAAAAGCCCAAAUUGCUCAAGCAGCAAAAACAUCCGCCUUACCUGCAUGCUCUGAAGGUAUUGCUGAGCUAUUGUGACCCCUGUCCAGACAAAAUACUGUCACAAACACCCUGUCUCAUGGAACAUGCUAUCUGGGAGUAAACUGCUUAUAACAAAUCAUAGUCGUGCAAGGAGCAGUGGAUCAGAACAUCAGCCUCUCAUACCAGACACACAGCUUGAAGUUUCAUGUUGGCUAAUAAUGAAAAAACAGUGAGAGGAUGUGAAUAUAU
ensembl:lncRNA